rnacentral:tRNA from 1 species
GUUUGAUUAGUUUAAGUAAAAUAGGAACUUUGUAAGUUCAAGAUCUAUAAAAAA